GAUGAAGAACGUAGCGAAAUGCGAUACGUAAUGUGAAUUGCAGAAUUCAGUGAAUCAUCGAAUCUUUGAACGCAUAUUGCGCUCUCUGGUAUUCCGGAGAGCAUGCUUGUUUGAGUAUCAGUAAACACCUGAACUUCCAUAUCUUUUUUGAAAUGGGAGUUGGACUUGAGUGAUCCCAACGCUUUUCCUCACCGAAAAGUGGCGGGUUACUUGAAAUGCAGGUGCAGCUGGACUUUUCUCUGAGCUAUAAGCAUAUCUAUUUAGUCUGCCUAAAAAACAGAUUAUUACCUUUGCUGCAGCUAACAUAAAGGAGAUUAGUUCUUGUGCUGACUGAUGCAGGAUUCACAAAGACAGGCUUCGGCCGACUUUGUAAACUCGAUCUCAAAUCAAGUAAGACUACCCGCUGAACUUAAGCAUAUCAAUAAGCGGAGGA
rnacentral:misc_RNA from 1 species